CCUACGGGUGGCAGCAGUGGGGAAUAUUGCACAAUGGGCGCAAGCCUGAUGCAGCCAUGCCGCGUGUAUGAAGAAGGCCUUCGGGUUGUAAAGUACUUUCAGCGGGGAGGAAGGCGAUAAGGUUAAUAACCUUGUCGAUUGACGUUACCCGCAGAAGAAGCACCGGCUAACUCCGUGCCAGCAGCCGCGGUAAUACGGAGGGUGCAAGCGUUAAUCGGAAUUACUGGGCGUAAAGCGCACGCAGGCGGUCUGUCAAGUCGGAUGUGAAAUCCCCGGGCUCAACCUGGGAACUGCAUUCGAAACUGGCAGGCUAGAGUCUUGUAGAGGGGGGUAGAAUUUCAGGUGUAGCGGUGAAAUGCGUAGAGAUCUGAAGGAAUACCAGUGGCGAAGGCGGCCCCCUGGACAAAGACUGACGCUCAGAUGCGAAAGCGUGGGGAGCAAACAGGAUUAGAUACCCGGGUAGUC
rnacentral:rRNA from 1 species